rnacentral:rRNA from 2 species
AGAGUUUGAUCCUGGCUCAGAACGAACGCUGGCGGCGUGCUUAACACAUGCAAGUCGAACGUGAUCCAGAGCUUGCUCUGGUGAAAGUGGCGCACGGGUGAGUAACGCGUGGAUAACCUGCCCUGGUAUCUGGGAUAACAUCUCGAAAGGGGUGCUAAUACCGGAUAAGCCUACGGACUCCUCGGAGUCUGCAGGAAAAGGAGGCCUCUAUUUAUAAGCUUCCGUAUCAUGAUGGGUCCGCGUACCAUUAGCUAGUUGGUGGGGUAAUGGCCUACCAAGGCGACGAUGGUUAGCUGGUYUGAGAGGAUGAUCAGCCACACUGGAACUGAGACACGGUCCAGACUCCUACGGGAGGCAGCAGUGGGGAAUUUUGCGCAAUGGGSGAAAGCCUGACGCAGCAACGCCGCGUGAGUGAUGAAGGCCUUCGGGUCGUAAAGCUCUGUCAGAGGGGAAGAACCGCCGGGUGGCUAAUACCUGCCUGGUCUGACGGUACCCUCAAAGGAAGCACCGGCUAACUCCGUGCCAGCAGCCGCGGUAAUAC